rnacentral:hammerhead_ribozyme from 1 species
GUACUGACGAAGAGUCCCAACUAAGACGAAACAGCUGUCCAGUAC